AUUGAACGCUGGCGGCAUGCCUUACACAUGCAAGUCGAACGGCAGCACGGGAGCAAUCCUGGUGGCGAGUGGCGAACGGGUGAGUAAUAUAUCGGAACGUGCCCAGUCGUGGGGAUAACGUAGCGAAAGCUACGCUAAUACCGCAUACGAUCUAUGGAUGAAAGCGGGGGAUCGCAAGACCUCGCGCGAUUGGAGCGGCCGAUAUCAGAUUAGGUAGUUGGUGAGGUAAAGGCUCACCCAAGCCGACGAUCUGUAGCUGGUCUGAGAGGACGACCAGCCACACUGGGACUGAGACACGGCCCAGACUCCUACGGGAGGCAGCAGUGGGGAAUUUUUGGAUAAUGGGCGCAAGCCUGAUCCAGC
rnacentral:rRNA from 1 species